rnacentral:rRNA from 1 species
GGAAUAUUGGACAAUGGGGGCAACCCUGAUCCAGCCAUGCCGCGUGAGUGAAGAAGGCCCUCGGGUUGUAAAGCUCUUUUGUCCGGAAAGAAAAGCAUUCGGUGAAUACCCGGAUGUUCUGACGGUACCGGAAGAAUAAGCACCGGCUAACUCCGUGCCAGCAGCCGCGGUAAUACGAAGGGUGCAAGCGUUACUCGGACUUACUGGGCGUAAAGCGUGCGUAGGUGGUUGUUUAAGUCUGAUGUGAAAGCCCUGGGCUCAACCUGGGAAUGGCAUUGGAAACUGGGCAGCUAGAGUGCGGUAGAGGGUAGUGGAAUUCCCGGUGUAGCAGUGAAAUGCGUAGAGAUCGGGAGGAACAUCUGUGGCGAAGGCGACUGCCUGGACCAGCACUGACACUGAGGCACGAAAGCGUGGGUAGCGAACA